GUCUGGAUGACGACCGCUUCCAGCGCUAUUUGAGGUUGACUCCGGCCCAGUUUGAUGACCUUUUAGCUUGGAUCGGUGCUAGGAUCUCUCGGUUGGACACCAACUACAGGCGCUCCAUCUCAGCUUCGGACGUCUUUCUGGUGGUGUCGGGUCAGCAUAUCGGCAAAAAAGGAUCACAGCAAGCAACUUUUGUUUGGUGUUAGCAGCAGUCAAGCGGAAGUCCUACCCUCCAUCCUUAUUUAAAACACUGCUUGGCCAGUACAACCUCAAACAAGGAUCGAAAGCAUGUGAUUGGGGAAUUCUCCAUGAGCGAAGGGCAAAGCAGCAGUAUACGGAGAGCACUAGUGUCGUUAUCCAGGAGAGGGGUUUGUUCCUUUUGGACAGUGGCCUGCUCGGUGGAUCUCCAGAUGGGGCAGUGUCUGACAACUGCAUUGUGGAAGUGAAAUGUCCAUGGUCAGCCAGAACAAAGACUAUCUGACAGGCAGCAGAGAGUAGGGACUUUUAUCUUUACUUGGAC
ensembl:lncRNA